AAGAUCGGUUCAAGAAUGGUCCUCUCUCUCUCUCUCUCUCUCUCUCUCUCUCUCUCUGUGAUUUAUCAAGAUUACUGUUAUGCGUGAUGUGGGUUCUUGUUUAGACGCUUCAUUUGGGCAUAUUUUCCAGACUUAAGGGUUUCUUGCCAGCGUUAGCAGGCAUUUAUGCUACUGGGUUGAGAAAAUUUUGUGUGUUUAGAGCCUUUAGGGUUCUUUGGUGUGUGGUUUACGGUCUGGUGAUUUGGUUUUAGCUGUCUAAGGUUUUGCCUUUUGUGGUCCUUGAUCAAGAAUUGUAAAGAUGUACUCCUCUAUGGGUUGCCUUCUAGAGAAUCAAAUUGAUGGAGUUUUCAUCACCCUGAAAAAAUAUACUACAAAUGAACUGGUUUCGUUUGUGGGUUAACAGGUUAAGGCAAAUUUUGUCUCGCGGGUUCUCACUUGCUUUCCUUUUAUGAUUCUUGGUUAAGAUUUCGAACAUCAGAUAUGGGUAGCUCAUAACCGUUUACACAAGGUUUUUGGGUGGAAUAAGCAGAGUAAUGACCAUUCUUUAUGUAAAGAUGUAUUUCAGCUAAUACUAUUACAUGCCGAGCCCGAGAAAGUUUCAUCCUUUUUCUUCCCCUUUCUAUUGAUAUUAGGUUCUGCUGGCAGAGUGUGUCAACCAUUAGUUCAUGUCUUAUUUUGUCAUUUAUAUUUGAGUGGAUAUCAUACUAAGUGGGAAUGUUCUUGUGGACAACAAACACAGUUGCGGGCAGUACUUACUUUAAAGUUUAGUGCAAAGAGUGAAAUUUUUCCUACAGCUUAUGAUGUUCGUUACUAUAUGAGAUGCAACUCAGCACACGCAAGGAGCGAGGCAUGGGCAAUUAUGUAUAGUUACUUCAUAGUUUAGAAUGAAGAUGUAGCUCUAUAUCCUUGUCUGGAAUCCGCAGUUGAUUUAGCAAUGGCACUGGCCCAGAAGUGUUAACUAAAUUCUAUAAGGUUGCUUGAUGUUGACGGGAAUGAGGUGAAAGUCAUUGGAGAGCCUGAAGUGAGGGGAGGCGAUGCAUCUGAAAUCUCAACUGUUUGCUUCCUUUUACCAGUUUAAUCUCCUCAUCUUGCUCAUUUUCAGCUACAAAAUUCUCUAGUGUUCCUUCCUUUCCUCGGUGUAUAUGCUUGGUCGAAGAUUUGUGCUUCAAAUUGUUUAUUCCUUUUGAAGGAUUUUGGUUGAUUGAUUUGUUUAAGCUUAUCUCGUAAAUGAAUGUUCACAUUCAUUCAUUUCUUUUAAUCGGCAAAAGAAAAUCAUGUUAACAUUCAUCGUUGUCUUGGACAGACAUCAAGAGGAGUUGAUUGUGGGAAACUUGAUAUAAUGCUCAGAUAUGUAUUUCUCAGAGGCUGCAAUUAUCAGGUUGAUAGAAGUGUAUGAUCACAGUUUCAGACCUUUUAGUGCUUCAACUUGAUGAUCAACAGUUGGCAAUGCCAGAGGGAAGUAAAUGUAAUACAUAACUGGCUUAAGGGCUCAACUUUUCUUAGACUCGCGCCUCAGGUCUGUGUCAAUUUUGAGUGCACAAGUCAAAUUACUUGGGAAACUGAGAUUAAGCAAGGGCCCAAAUACCUUAGGAAGAUACUAAUUGGAAUCAAGUUCAGGUUGCUACAAAUGUUACUCUACUUAUCAAAAGAGAAAGGAAUAAGCAAUGCUUCAUUAGAAUAUCACAUUUGGAAAAUUAUGCAUCCUGUAGCUAAUGCAGGGAGUUCCAUAUUGGAUGUUUUGGGGGAUUUUGUUGUUUUUGUAAAUGACUAUGGUUUGUGCGCAGACUUCUGUCACUUCCUAAGUUUCCAAUUCUAAAGAGUUAUUCAUGUUUCUCUGCGACUUAAUGGCAUCAAACAUCCCCCUUUCUCGUGUUAUUCAUGCACACUCAGUCACUUCCUCUCUCAUGGCAUGUAGGCAGACACUUGCACUAUGCAACACCAAUAUCUCCUUGACAAAAACCAGACAGUGAGCACGGACCUAUGGUUUGGGAUUAUGUCUUAACAGUUGAACUUUGAGAUGUAUCAGAUGCCAAUUGAAGAGAUCAGAACUGCUGAUGAAGGUGUCCCUACAGUAAUAUGAGCACCCAAUCCUCCUGUCUCCAUAGCAUAUAGGGAUAUGGCUCUGUGAAUCGUUGGCAAUCUCCUACAAAAAGAAUGACAGAAGAGCAACACUAUCCUGCCUUUGUAGUUGGACCUUUCAACAGAUAACUUAGUUUCUUUUCUGCAGCUUCUGUGGGCAUUCAGAUAUCCAUUUUGUUCAUUCUUUGUCUUGGUAAAUGACGUUAAGCUGUGUAUGUUUGGAGAAUUUCUGGACAAGGAAAAUACUGUAUUUGUACUUGUGUGGAAACAGUGAUGGAUUCUGUAUAGUUGUUUUUCCUGUUUUAACCAAAACCUCUCACUCCAUUGUCCGUCA